ACACUUACCUAGCAGGGAGAAUGCCAUGAUCAAGAAAAUGGUUUCCUCAGGGAGAGGAUAUUCCAUUGCACACUACUGUUGGGUUGACCCCUGUGAUUUCCCAAAUGUGAGAAAGUCAACUGCAUAAUUUAUGGUAGUGGUGGACUGCAUUUGUGCAGUCCAGUG